rnacentral:rRNA from 1 species
UAAUACGGAGGGUGCAAGCGUUGCUCGGAAUUACUGGGCGUAAAGGGCGUGUAGGCGGUUUUGUAUGUCUGGCGUGAAAGCCCCGGGCUCACCUCGGGAAGUGCGUUGGAAACUGCAAGACUAGAGUCCCGGAGAGGAAGGUGGAAUUCCAGGUGUAGCGGUGAAAUGCGUAGAUAUCUGGAAGAACACCUGUGGCGAAGGCGACCCCCUGGUUGGAUACUGACGCUGAGACGCGAAAGCGUGGGGAGCAAACAGGAUUAGAUACCCUGGUAGUCCACGCUGUAAAUGAUGGGCACUAGGUGUCCGAGGUAUUGACCCCUUGGGUGCCGCAGCUAACGCAUUAAGUGCCCCGCCUG